rnacentral:ncRNA from 2 species
CGACGUCGCGUGGGAGAGUCCUCUCCGGCAUGCGGUGAGGCGCCGAAGGGGCAAACUCCCCAGCAAGCUCUCAGGCGCCAGGACCACGCGAAGCAG